CCUUACAUUUCCGUUUUAUCAAUGCAUGGCGUACUCCUCAAACGCUGGUGCUUUUCCACCACAUUCUGUUACUUUAGCCUUGCAGAAAAAGGCAUGUGUUGUCUUUGAAUGCUUACUGCUGCACUGGACCAGACAAGUCGUCAUUGAUUGCACGAAGUAAAGGAUAUUUGCCCUGUCCACAAACACCAUUGAAGUCGUCCAUAUCCAGAGACCAGACCAUGAUACCACCAAGUCCUUUACUCUUGACGAAGUCGACCUGUAUCAUCAAUUACAACGAACUGUGAAAUAUAUAUAUGAUAUGUAAAAUAUAGCAUAUCUUGAAUUAAAUAGAUUGUUACCUUAA